UUUCCUGCAAGUGUUUUAUCACCUGGUAAAAAAAUCUGUUCUUAUCAGCUUAACAUCUGUUACAUUCUAUGUCACAGCACUAGAAUAUUAAACUAAUUUUUGGCUCAUGACAGAGUGCGAAUAGCAUGCUCUGCAAUCAGGCUAAUACUACGUAUCACUUUAUAAACACAGUAAUAUAGCUGAU